UACGUAGGGGGCAAGCGUUGUCCGGAAUCAUUGGGCGUAAAGCGCGUGUAGGCGGCCCGGUAAGUCCGCUGUGAAAGUCGGGGGGCUCAACCCUCGGAUGCCGGUGGAUACUGUCGGGCUAGAGUGCGGGAGAGGCGAGUGGAAUUCCUGGUGUAGCGGUGAAAUGCGCAGAUAUCAGGAGGAACACCAAUUGCGAAGGCAGCUCGCUGGAACGUAACUGACGCUGAGACGCGAAAGCGUGGGGAGGCAAACAGG
rnacentral:rRNA from 1 species